UACCAACUGCAAAAACUCGGUAAGGUCUGC
rnacentral:piRNA from 1 species